UACGAAGGGGGCUAGCGUUGUUCGGAAUUACUGGGCGUAAAGCGCGCGUAGGCGGUUUUGCAAGCCAGAGGUGAAAUCUCUCUGCUCAACAGAGAAACUGCCAUUGAAACUAUGUGUCUUGAGUACACUUGAGGCGGGCGGAAUGUGUCAUGUAGAGGUGAAAUUCUUAGAUAUGACACAGAACACCAAUUGCGAAGGCAGCUCGCUAAACUGUAACUGACGCUGAGGCACGAAAGCGUGGGGAUCAAACAGG
rnacentral:rRNA from 1 species